rnacentral:pre_miRNA from 1 species
AUACUACUCCCUCCGUCCCAAAUUACUUGUCGCAAGUAUGGAUGUAUCUAGAUGUAUUUUAGUUGUAAAUACAUCCAUUUCUGCGACAAGUAAUUUGGGACGGAGGGAGUACAUG